CUGGGAGCGUGUCAUUUUCCUCCCGCUUGAGACUGUGCGUACCAUCGAGCAGUAUGAAAGGAUUCCUGUACAGCUGCACUGGCGUUCAUGGAGAGAUUGUUUGGCCAGAAGAGGAGGAUUCACUUGCCUUUCCGCCUGUAGUCCAGUACUACUAUCGAAUCUCCUGUUCAGAGGCAGAGGAGAAGAGAUUAUUGGGGGUAAAAAAAAAAGGCACAACAGAGAAGUCCUCUCACAGAUCAAGCACGCUGCCGGGAGGAGGAUGUGAACCUGGCUCCAGCCUCCCAACGUCCCUGGGGAACCGAACCCAUCUGGGUGUAGGAGCAAGCUACGAGUGCGUGGCUUGGAGCAGCUGCUGAUGCCAAAGUGCUGCAGAAGUCGAAUGAGCCUGGGAUAUCCCUAGCAAGUAAGGGAUUACUCGACUGCUGAGGAAUGAUUUGAAAUCUACCGUGGUCCACAUCCCUUGAAAAUAAUGGUGCUUUGCUAGGGUGUGUGGGGGAAAGUAUCUGCCACCAAAUAAGCCUAGCUUGGUGGAAAAAUACGUGCAAAGCUUUAAAAAUAAAGCUCGUCUGAAAAGGCAGCAGAUGGUUAAUCCUGCAGCUAAGAUAUCUGGAGCAUCCUCAUGUGUCUGGCCAGGAUGGCAGAGGACCUACCAAAGACCCACAGCUUUCUGAAGUACCAGCUAAAGACCAGAUGUGCUACCGUCGGACACCAAGUGUGGCAAUAACCAAAUGUAUUUGGCUACCCUUAUCUAAAGCACUGUAUCAGCCUCUCUCCUUCCCUGCUGAUGAUCAUUUACUCCCAGGGAACCUCUUUUAAAGGUGCUUCGCUUGUCCAUAGACCUCAGAGGCUCUGAAACGCUAAUUGCUGUAUUUUAUUUAUCUCCAGCCUGCACAGCAUUUGGCAAUUGACCUGAUGCGGAACAAAAUCCUGGCGUUUCUUCCUUCCCAAAUGAUCUUGCAUGAUAGAACAAAUGAAGAUAUCUUCUAGAAAGGAGGCUCAGUUCAAGUAUCUCUGCCAGACAGUACAGAAGCAAGAGGGCUGUAAUAACCAAGGGUGGAACCCGUGUCUGGAUCCAUAAUUACCUGCAGAACAUGAGCAGUUUAACACUCAUACAAAAACUGCUGUGCAUAAGCCUGUACCAGAACGGUGGUAGAACGACUUUGUACCCUGCACGGAUGCCCUUUGCAUCCCUUCGUGUCCCACUCUGGUUUCUGCAGUCUCAACAUCUGCUCAGGAGGAUGAGAGCAUCGAGACUGCAAUCGUAUUAUAGUAUUGCUUCGUACCGCGCAGAUUGACGCGCUGGCGCAUAGGCUGGGUGUCCCAGUCGCUGAGUACAGGGCAUUAAGGGAGCUUGGUUUCUCAAGCACGUAAAUGCAAAAAUAAAACCCAGGGAAAACAAUCGGUUCCUAAAACAUGCUAUAUGCUUCUGGAAAAUGCAUUUCAUGUGAAAGUACUUAAUAAAAAAGAAGAAAAAUAUUAAAGAAGAUUGCCUUCUAGCUUUAGCUCAGCCGUAGGCGAAUAUGUUUCAGCGAUGUCUUUGCAAGGUACUCAAGAGCUCGUAGAAGAUCUGGAGGGGCACAUCCAUCCAUGCCCUGGGCACGAGGAAGUUACUCCAUGGUCUGCUAGAUGGAAGACAAAUGAAUCUGCUGCAUCUUCAAAUGCUGGUGCCAGAGAAGAGACCUCAGCUGAAAUGUUGCUCUGUCUGAUGUGGAGAACUUUGAUCUGAAUUUGUCCUGAGGAUCUGGUUGUCUCACCAGAAGCAAAACCCGAGGGAAAACUGCUUGCCUUUAUUUUUGAAGGGUUCCAGUUUGGUCAAAGUAAUGUGAGAUCAGUUGCCUGCAUGAUGUUUUCUACCCAUUGGGAAUGGGAGAAGCUAUCACAUGGUUCAUCUUUGGUGCUCGGACCCUGCAGCCAAAUUCUUGGCUGAGGGUUAUUUUAACUGCAUCAUCUCCCUUAUUGUGAUGAGAAGGUGAGACAGGAAAGGGUAGGAUGGAAAAAAAAAAAGUACACGGAGCCAUUUUUGCUGUGAGAAGAAAGGUAUGUUGGAAUUGCGGCUUCAUUCGGUUUGCAGCUGUUUUUACUCUGGCAAUGCAGAGCCAAAGAUUUGUCUCGGUCAGGAACAUAUUAAGACUCUGGCACACUGUAAUUUGGAAUAGCUUCCCUCUGGCUGUGUUUCAAUGCUUAUUGGGAUCUUGUUAUCAAUACCAGCUUAAGGAAGUCCUGCCCUUCUCUUGGGUGGACGCAGCUGGGAAAUGGAUUGGGGAAAAUGAUCCUAGUUGAAAAUAACCCCUGCUCGCAAGAAACGCGUGUGCGGUGAAUAGG